UAGUGACUGCUGCUGGAAAAAAAUUAUGGUGUUUAUGUUUAUAUUAUUACUUUUGUUAAUUAUCCUAGCAAUCUUUUUUAUUGUAAACAAUAAAAAAUUAAAAUAAAAAUUCCUCAAGAUAACGUGAACCAAACUGGGGCAGCGAGUGGUUAUCUAGGAGGCAACAGCUUUAGAUUUUCCCAGUUCACUAUCUGUUUUAGUAAUGUUUAACUUUACGGACUGAAAUGUUUCUUACAAAAAGUCAGUGAGACUCAUAAUCUCUGCCCCACAGUCCCACAGAAAUCCACAGAUAAGGUAGGUAUCCCCGUGUUGUCUACAGGUUUGACUACAUCCUGCUUCUACAGUAAGACUUUACAAUGAGGUUGUGCAUCCUACUUCUCCUGGUCCUGGUAGCUACGGCUGGUGCAAAUGAACUCAUCAAAAGGGUUUUCUUUGAUAACUUGUUGAGAGAAAUAAGUGCCCUCCUUCUUGACAACCCGAACCUGAGUCUGGGUGCCUGCGAGUCUGCCUGUCUCUCCUUCCCUGGGGGCUCCACCAACGUGUGUAGCAACGCCUGCGCUACAUGCUUGGAUGAACAGUGAUCUCCGCCAGUCUUCUCCAAGUUAUCUUGAAAAUGUCACAUCUAGGAUAAAGUGAAAUAAAUGUUU